UACGGAGGGAGCUAGCGUUGUUCGGAAUUAUUGGGCGUAAAGCGCACGUAGGCGGCUUUGUAAGUUAGAGGUGAAAGCCCGGGGCUCAACUCCGGAACUGCCUUUAAGACUGCAUCGCUUGAAUCCAGGAGAGGUGAGUGGAAUUCCGAGUGUAGAGGUGAAAUUCGUAGAUAUUCGGAAGAACACCCGUGGCGAAGGCGGCUCUCUGGAACGCAACUGACGCUGAGACGCGAAAGCGUGGGGAGCAAACAGG
rnacentral:rRNA from 1 species